AUUGAACGCUGGCGGCAGGCUUAACACAUGCAAGUCGAGCGAGCGGCGGACGGGUGAGUAAUGUCUGGGAAACUGCCUGAUGGAGGGGGAUAACUACUGGAAACGGUAGCUAAUACCGCAUACCAUCAGAUGUGCCCAGAUGGGAUUAGCUAGUAGGUGGGGUAAUGGCUCACCUAGGCGACGAUCCCUAGCUGGUCUGAUAGGAUGACCGUCCACCAUGGAACUAGGACACGGCCCAGACGCCUACGGGAGGUGGCAGGGGGGAAUAUUGCACAAGGGGCGCAAGCCUGAUGCAGCACUGCCGCGUGUGUGAAGAAGGCCUUCGGGUUGUAAAGCACGUUCAGCGAGGAGGCGUUACUCGCAGAAGAAGCACCGGCUAACUCCGUGCCAGCAGCCGCGGUAAUUC
rnacentral:rRNA from 1 species